UGGAGGAGGGCUCGGGCUGCCAGGCCAGCACACACACCUGCUCUCCCCGUGGCAGGGCCACUGGAAGGUCUGUUCUGGACACCCUCUUACCGAUCUUGUCCACCUUGGUGUUGCUGGGCGGGUGGGCCACGUUGCAGGUGAAGGUCUCACUGAGCCACCUGCUGGAGGGCACUGUCACCAUGCUGCUGAGAGAGUAGAGCCCCGAGGCCUGCAGGACGGACGGGAAGGUGUGCACACCGCUGGUCAGGGCGCCGGAGUUCCAGGACACGGUCACCGGCUCAGGGAAGUAGCCUAACACCAGGCAGGCCAGGGCCACGGUGGCGCCAGACGUGGUCCCGCAGCUGGGGGCCAGUGGGAACACCGACGGGGCCGUGGUGGAGGCUGCAAGAGAGGAGGCCGUGUGACCACAAGGACUCCUUAGCCCA